CGCACACACUCUCACGCGGAGACGCAUUUUAACAUACAUACAUUACUACUGUACCUUCCCCUCCUUUUGGAUUCUCCGGAUCCUCUACUCCGGUCAGUAGAUCUCCCGAUUGACAACUCCGACUCCAGAAUAGUAUCAAACACUUUGAUCACAUAAGCAAAACCAAUGGCAACCAGCACGAUCCGCAAAGCGAUCGGCGCCGUAAAAGAUCAAACAAGCAUAAGCAUAGCCAA
rnacentral:misc_RNA from 1 species